AAGGAGCACCAACUGGCCGAGGUCGCUUCCUCUCGGGGAAGGCUCAGGUCGGUGGCUGCCGUUGACAGCGAAUGUCUGUCAGGUGGCUGCUCAUAGAUGUGGAGCACUGGCUACUCAGUCUGCUGGCCGUGCGGCUCAGCUAGUACCGCUUCGAGGGUGACCUCGGGGAGUGGGAACGGUGGCUCCGGGCGGUUGGGAGGCUGAACACGCUGUUGAGUCCUGAGGGAACGGGCGCGAGCCCGGGUGACCUCGGACUGCGGGACCAGGACCGCAUCACCGGAAGGUGGUGUGGGUUUUGGUGGGCCCGGUUGUUUUUUGAGAACUGCACAGUGGACGCGAGCAUCUCUGGUGAACGAUGAGAGCCCGCUUUGAAGGGACCCUUUUCGGAGGGGUGUUUCUUCGGUUGGUCUUGGUGGUUAUCUGCGAUUUGUUCUGAUCGUUUUGU
rnacentral:misc_RNA from 1 species